rnacentral:rRNA from 1 species
CAGCCGCCGCGGUAAUACGGAGGGUGCAAGCGUUAAUCGGAAUUACUGGGCGUAAAGCGCACGCAGGCGGUUUGUUAAGUCAGAUGUGAAAUCCCCGAGCUUAACUUGGGAACUGCAUUUGAAACUGGCAAGCUAGAGUCUUGUAGAGGGGGGUAGAAUUCCAGGUGUAGCGGUGAAAUGCGUAGAGAUCUGGAGGAAUACCGGUGGCGAAGGCGGCCCCCUGGACAAAGACUGACGCUCAGGUGCGAAAGCGUGGGGAGCAAACAGGAUUAGAUACCCGUGUAGUCCCUGUCUCUUAUAA